AUUCCAGCUCCAAUAGCGUAUAUUUAAGUUGUUGCGGUUAAAAAGCUCGUAGUUGGAUUUCGGGCGUGGAGGUUCGGUCCGCCGUUUCGGUGUGCACUGUCUUUCUGCGUCUUUCUGUCGGGGACGCGCUUCUGGCCUUAAUUGGCUGGGACGUGGAUUCGACGAGGUUACUUUGAAAAAAUUAGAGUGUUCAAAGCAAGCUAAAGCUCUGAAUACAUUAGCAUGGAAUAACGCGAGAGGACUCGGUCCUUAUUUUGUUGGUCUUCAAGGAUGGAGUAAUGAUUAAGAGGGACAGUUGGGGGCAUUCGUAUUUCAUUGCUAGAGGUGAAAUUCUUGGAUUUAUGAAAGACGAACUUCUGCGGAAGCAUUUGCCAAGGAUGUUUUCAUUA
rnacentral:rRNA from 1 species